rnacentral:tRNA from 1 species
UAUUUCGGUAGUUUAAAAAGAAUGUGACUUUGAAGCAGUUAUGGUGGAUUGCCCCCUGAAAUAG